rnacentral:rRNA from 1 species
AGAGUUUGAUCAUGGCUCAGGAUGAACGCUGGCGGCGUGCUUAACACAUGCAAGUCGAACGAACCUUCGGGUUAGUGGCGGACGGGUGAGUAACGCGUGGGAAUCUGCCCUCAGGAGGGGGAUAACGGUUGGAAACGACCGCUAAUACCCCAUAUGCCGAGAGGUGAAAUGAAUUUCGCCUGAGGAUGAGCCCGCGUCUGAUUAGCUUGUUGGUGAGGUAAUGGCUCACCAAGGCAUCGAUCAGUAGCUGGUCUGAGAGGAUGAUCAGCCACACUGGGACUGAGACACGGCCCAGACUCCUACGGGAGGCAGCAGUGGGGAAUUUUCCGCAAUGGGCGAAAGCCUGACGGAGCAACGCCGCGUGAGGGACGAAGGCCUCUGGGCUGUAAACCUCUUUUCUCAAGGAAGAAGAUAUGACGGUACUUGAGGAAUAAGCCACGGCUAAUUCCGUGCCAGCAGCCGCGGUAAUACGGGAGUGGCAAGCGUUAUCCGGAAUUAUUGGGCGUAAGGCGUCCGCAGGCGGCCUUUCAAGUCUGCUGUUAAAGCGUGGAGCUUAACUCCAUCAUGGCAGUGGAAACUGAUUGGCUUGAGUAUGGUAGGGGCAGAGGGAAUUCCCGGUGUAGCGGUGAAAUGCGUAGAUAUCGGGAAGAACACCAGUGGCGAAGGCGCUCUGCUGGGCCAUUACUGACGCUCAUGGACGAAAGCCAGGGGAGCGAAAGGGAUUAGAUACCCCUGUAGUCCUGGCCGUAAACGAUGAACACUAGGUGUCGGGGGAAUCGACCCCUUCGGUGUCGUAGCUAACGCGUUAAGUGUUCCGCCUGGGGAGUACGCACGCAAGUGUGAAACUCAAAGGAAUUGACGGGGGCCCGCACAAGCGGUGGAGUAUG